UACGUAGGAUGCAAGCGUUGUCCGGAAUUAUUGGGCGUAAAGCGCACGUAGGCGGAUCUUUAAGUCAGGGGUGAAAUCCCAAGGCUCAACCUUGGAACUGCCCUUGAUACUGGGGAUCUCGAGUCCGGAAGAGGUUGGUGGAACUGCGAGUGUAGAGGUGAAAUUCGUAGAUAUUCGCAAGAACACCAGUGGCGAAGGCGGCCAACUGGUCCGGCACUGACGCUGAGGUGCGAAAGCGUGGGGAGCAAACAGG
rnacentral:rRNA from 1 species